CCCUUAGAUGUCCGGGGCCGCACGCGCGCUACACUGAAGGAAUCAGCGUGGCUUUCUCCCUGACCCGAAAGGGUUGGGAAACCCGUUGAAUCUCCUUCGUGAUAGGGAUUGGGGCUUGAAAUUGUUCCCCAUGAACGAGGAAUUCCCAGUAAGCGCGAGUCAUAAGCUCGGGUUGAUUACGUCCCUGCCCUUUGUACACACCGCCCGUCGCUACUACCGAUUGAACGGUUUAGUGAGGGCCUCGGAUUGGUCUCGGCCCGCUCUUUACCGGGCGGCGCCGUUGGUCGAGAAGACGCUCGAACUUGAUCGUUUAGAGGAAGUAAAAGUCGUAACA
rnacentral:rRNA from 1 species